rnacentral:tRNA from 1 species
GCGUGCGUGGUGGAGCAGGUAUACACAGUGGAUUUAAAAUCCACCGCUUCCAGAAGCAUGAGGGUUCGAAUCCCUCCGCACGCA